GGCGUAAAGAGCUCGUAGGUGGUUUGUCGCGUUGUUCGUGAAAUCUCACGGCUUAACUGUGAGCGUGCGGGCGAUACGGGCAGACUUGAGUACUGCAGGGGAGACUGGAAUUCCUGGUGUAGCGGUGGAAUGCGCAGAUAUCAGGAGGAACACCGGUGGCGAAGGCGGGUCUCUGGGCAGUAACUGACGCUGAGGAGCGAAAGCGUGGGGAGCGAACAGGAUUAGAUACCCUGGUAGUCCACGCCGUAAACGGUGGGUACUAGGUGUGGGUUUCCUUCCUUGGGAUCCGUGCCGUAGCUAACGCAUUAAGUACCCCGCCUGGGGAGUACGGCCGCGAGGCUAAAACUCAAAGAAAUUGACGGGGGCCCGCACAAGCGGCGGAGCAUGUGGAUUAAUUCGAUGCAACGCGAAGAACCUUACCUGGGUUUGACAUGCACAGGACGCCGGCAGAGAUGUCGGUUCCCUUGUGGCCUGUGUGCAGGUGGUGCAUGGCUGUCGUCAGCUCGUGUCGUGAGAUGUUGGGUUAAGUCCCGCAACGAGCGCAACCCUUGUCUCAUGUUGCCAGCGGGUAAUGCCGGGGACUCGUGAGAGACUGCCGGGGUCAACUCGGAGGAAGGUGGGGAUGACGUCAAGUCAUCAUGCCCCUUAUGUCCAGGGCUUCACACAUGCUACAAUGGCCGGUACAAAGGGCUGCGAUGCCGCGAGGUUAAGCGAAUCCUUUUAAAGCCGGUCUCAGUUCGGAUCGGGGUCUGCAACUCGACCCCGUGAAGUCGGAGUCGCUAGUAA
rnacentral:rRNA from 1 species